rnacentral:rRNA from 1 species
GGAUGAACGCUGGCGGCGUGCUUAACACAUGCAAGUCGAACGAUGAAGCCCAGCUUGCUGGGUGGAUUAGUGGCGAACGGGUGAGUAACACGUGAGUAACCUGCCCUUGACUCUGGGAUAAGCCUGGGAAACUGGGUCUAAUACUGGAUAUGACUUCUCAUCGCAUGGUGGGGGGUGGAAAGAUUUAUUGGUCUUGGAUGGACUCGCGGCCUAUCAGCUUGUUGGUGAGGUAAUGGCUCACCAAGGCGACGACGGGUAGCCGGCCUGAGAGGGUGACCGGCCACACUGGGACUGAGACACGGCCCAGACUCCUACGGGAGGCAGCAGUGGGGAAUAUUGCACAAUGGGCGCAAGCCUGAUGCAGCGACGCCGCGUGAGGGAUGACGGCCUUCGGGUUGUAAACCUCUUUCAGUAGGGAAGAAGCGAGAGUGACGGUACCUGCAGAAGAAGCGCCGGCUAACUACGUG